CCUACGGGAGGCAGCAGUGGGGAAUAUUGGGCAAUGGAGGAAACUCUGACCCAGCGACGCCGCGUGCGGGAUGAAGGCCUUCGGGUUGUAAACCGCUUUCAGUAGGGAAGAAGCGAAAGUGACGGUACCUACAAAAGAAGCACCGGCUAACUAUGUGCCAGCAGCCGCGGUAAUACAUAGGGUGCAAGCGUUGUCCGGAAUUAUUGGGCGUAAAGAGCUCGUAGGUCGUUUGUUACGUCGGAUGUGAAAACCUGAGGCUCAACCUCAGGCCUGCAUUCGAUACGGGCAAACUAGAGUUUGGUAGGGGAGACUGGAAUUCCUGGUGUAGCGGUGGAAUGCGCAGAUAUCAGGAGGAACACCAAUGGCGAAGGCAGGUCUCUGGGCCAAUACUGACACUGAGGAGCGAAAGUCUGGGGAGCGAACAGGAUUAGAUACCCUGGUAGUCCAGACCGUAAACGGUGGGCACUAGUUGUGGGAACCUUCCACGGUUUCUGCGACGCNGCUACGCAUAGUCGCCCGCCGUCGGGAGGUACGAGUCGCGAGAAGUUAAACUAACGAAAGAAGUAGUAACGGUCGUGAGAGUGCGACGGCGACGACGAGGGAGGAGG
rnacentral:rRNA from 1 species